rnacentral:rRNA from 4 species
AUGCGACCCCAGGUCAGGCGGGACUACCCGCUGAAUUUAAGCAUA